rnacentral:tRNA from 1 species
GCUGGUGUAGCACAGUUGGUAGUGCAUCUCAUUCGUAAUGAGAGGGUCACGUGUUCGAGUCACGCCACCAGCUCCA